rnacentral:lncRNA from 1 species
UAUAUAUAUAUAUAUAUAUAUAUAUAUAUAUAUAUAUAUGUAGAUUUUUGUUGCGAAUAGAUAGAAUAAUUAUGCGAAUAUAUAUUACCUAUAUUCAUAACAGAAUAAUGGCUAUACACAGUUGUGUAUGUUUUAUUUGUGCACAAUCGUUUUGGCAGAUUUGUUUUUGAUUUCUGAUUUGGGAGGAGAGAAACUGUUUUUUAAACAAAUAUGUCAAAACGACGUAGUUUUGACUGACUGAACACAAAUAAAACAUACACAGCUGUGUAUGACCAUAUUGCUUAAUAAUUAUAUAAUAUGUCAAUUAACACAAAUAGAUAACUAAUUGAUGUAAUACUCAUAAUAAAAACUAGACACAAUUAUAUAUAAAAAAUAAAAAUAAAAUAAUAAAAUUCGAAUCUAACCUCAGUAUCCACAGAGAAUGAAGUGAAACGAUCUCCCCACAGACAAGGGGGGAAGUUUGCUAAUCGGCGAGCACUUGAAAGAUGGUUUUCUGCUGAGGCCAACACUUCCAUAUUGUUAUAUUCGAAUAUUGCUAUAUAUGUUGAUAUACACCGAAUAAAUGAGAGAGCUAUUUAUGAGUGGGGGGAUGUUUGGCAUAUAUUAUGUUUUAUAUUCUCAAGUCUCUCUGAUGUUGCCCUAGCAAUAAUUCACAUGGUAGCACGCCUGUUAGUUUUUUUUUUAUGAAAAAUGAUGUAUAUAAUUUUUUAUUGUCAGUUAGGUGAAGAAGUAUUAGUUGUAAUAUUUUUGAAGAGAU